GACGAACGCUGGCGGCGUGCUUAACACAUGCAAGUCGAACGGAAAGGCCCUGCUUUUGUGGGGUGCUCGAGUGGCGAACGGGUGAGUAACACGUGAGUAACCUGCCCUUGACUUUGGGAUAACUUCAGGAAACUGGGGCUAAUACCGGAUAGGAGCUCCUGCUGCAUGGUGGGGGUUGGAAAGUUUCGGCGGUUGGGGAUGGACUCGCGGCUUAUCAGCUUGUUGGUGAGGUAGUGGCUUACCAAGGCUUUGACGGGUAGCCGGCCUGAGAGGGUGACCGGCCACAUUGGGACUGCGAUACGGCGCAGACUCCUACGGGAGGCAGCAGUGGGGAAUAUUGCACAAUGGGCGGAAGCCUGAUGCAGCAACGCCGCGUGCGGGAUGACGGCCUUCGGGUUGUAAACCGCUUUCGCCUGUGACGAAGCGGGAGUGACGGUAAUGGGUAAAGAAGCACCGGCUAACUACGUG
rnacentral:rRNA from 1 species